CGAGUUGGCCGGGCGGCCGCGGCCGGUGUUGGUUCGAAAGACCCAGCGUCGCGUCGAGGAAAGUCCGGACUUCGCAGAGCAGGGUGAUUGCUAACCGCAAUCCGGGGUAACUCGCGGGAAAGUGCCACAGAAAACAAACCGCCACCGCCUGCGGUGGUAAGGGUGAAACGGUGCGGUAAGAGCGCACCAGCAUCCCGGGUGACCGGGAUGGCUCGGUAAACCCCACCCGAAGCAAGGUCAAGAAGACCGCACCUUGCGGUGUGGUUGCGCAGGUGUCUGAGGGCUGCUCGCCUGAGCCUGCGGGUAGACCGCUUGAGGCACCCGGCAACGGUGUGUCCAGAUGGAUGGUCGCCGCCACGUCGCCUUAGCGUGCGCUAAGACGACGCGGAACAGAAUCCGGCUUACAGGCCAACUCGCCCG
rnacentral:RNase_P_RNA from 1 species